CGAAAACCCAAGGUUUCUCCGGCUAUGUUCGUCAGACGGAGGUUAGGCGGUCCCUAAGGUGAGGCCAGAAGGCGUAGCCGAUGGAUUUUCCGGUAGAUAUUCCGGACCCAGGACAGUGGCAAUGGGAGGACGCUUCUCGAUAUUCCAUCCCGCACCGUUGGUCGUUGCGGGCUAGG
rnacentral:rRNA from 1 species